GCAGCAUCAUCAGCUACCACAAUAUUUCUCUUUUCUAACCCCUCAUUGGUUGGCCACGAUGGCAGCCAUCUUUGGUCAGGUAUCCCUUGGCUGUCUGCCAAUACUUUUCUAGUUACAUCAUUGGAACCAAACAAGAGUUGUCUGGUAGCAGAUGGAAGGAUCAACUUCCUUCCUCUUUCCUCUGCUGGUUCAUUGGGCAGGAAGUCAGAUGACAACAUUUUAAGGCUCCAGUCAUGUAAUGUUAUAGAG